rnacentral:rRNA from 1 species
UGCACUUUGGGAUAAGCCUGGGAAACUGGGUCUAAUACCGGAUAGGACUACGCACUGCAUGGUGUGUGGUGGAAAGCUUUUGCGGUGUGGGAUGGGCCCGCGGCCUAUCAGCUUGUUGGUGGGGUGAUGGCCUACCAAGGCGACGACGGGUAGCCGGCCUGAGAGGGUGACCGGCCACACUGGGACUGAGAUACGGCCCAGACUCCUACGGGAGGCAGCAGUGGGGAAUAUUGCACAAUGGGCGCAAGCCUGAUGCAGCGACGCCGCGUGAGGGAUGACGGCCUUCGGGUUGUAAACCUCUUUCGCCAGGGACGAAGCGCAAGUGACGGUACCUGGAGAAGAAGGACCGGCCAACUACGUGCCAGCAGCCGCGGUAAUACGUAGGGUCCGAGCGUUGUCCGGAAUUACUGGGCGUAAAGAGCUCGUAGGUGGUUUGUCGCGUUGUUCGUGAAAACUCACAGCUUAACUGUGGGCGUGCGGGCGAUACGGGCAGACUGGAGUACUGCAGGGGAGACUGGAAUUCCUGGUGUAGCGGUGGAAUGCGCAGAUAUCAGGAGGAACACCGGUGGCGAAGGCGGGUCUCUGGGCAGUAACUGACGCUGAGGAGCGAAAGCGUGGGGAGCGAACAGGAUUAGAUACCCUGGUAGUCCACGCCGUAAACGGUGGGUACUAGGUGUGGGUUUCCUUCCUUGGGAUCCGUGCCGUAGCUAACGCAUUAAGUACCCCGC